GAUGAACGCUGGCGGCGUGCCUAACACAUGCAAGUCGAACGGAGCUGUCGGAGCUUGCUUUGACAGCUUAGUGGCGAACGGGUGAGUAACGCGUGAGCAACCUGCCCUUGAGAGGGGGAUAACAUCGGGAAACCGAUGCUAAUACCGCAUAAAAUAUGCAGAUGGCAUCAUUGGCAUAUCAAAGGAGAAAUCCGCUCAAGGAUGGGCUCGCGUCUGAUUAGAUAGUUGGUGAGGUAACGGCCCACCAAGUCGACGAUCAGUAGCCGGACUGAGAGGUUGACCGGCCACAUUGGGACUGAGACACGGCCCAGACUCCUACGGGAGGCAGCAGUGGGGAAUAUUGGGCAAUGGGGGAACCCUGACCCAGCAACGCCGCGUGAAGGAAGAAGGCCUUCGGUUGUAAACUUCUUGUACAGGGAAGAAGGAAGUGACGGUACCUGAGAACAAGCUCCGGCUAACUACGUGCCAGCAGCCGCGGUAAUAGUGUGUA
rnacentral:rRNA from 1 species